rnacentral:ncRNA from 10 species
UCAUCAGGAGAGGUUUCUUACUUGAAACCCACCAACCGAACUUAAAAGUUACGGUGGUUAGUUCCAUUAAACGGGAGAUGUGCCUUGAAAAAGGAAAAAUAGAACCGCCU